rnacentral:rRNA from 1 species
GAUGAACGCUGGCGGCGUGCCUAAUACAUGCAAGUCGAGCGAACAGACGAGGAGCUUGCUCCUCUGACGUUAGCGGCGGACGGGUGAGUAACACGUGGAUAACCUACCUAUAAGACUGGGAUAACUUCGGGAAACCGGAGCUAAUACCGGAUAAUAUAUUGAACCGCAUGGUUCAAUAGUGAAAGACGGUUUUGCUGUCACUUAUAGAUGGAUCCGCGCCGCAUUAGCUAGUUGGUAAGGUAACGGCUUACCAAGGCAACGAUGCGUAGCCGACCUGAGAGGGUGAUCGGCCACACUGGAACUGAGACACGGUCCAGACUCCUACGGGAGGCAGCAGUAGGGAACCUUCCGCAAUGGGCGAAAGCCUGACGGAGCAACACCGCGUGAGUGAUGAAGGUCUUCGGAUCGUAAAACUCUGUUAUUAGGGAAGAACAAAUGUGUAAGUAACUAUGCACGUCUUGACGGUACCUAAUCAGAAAGCCACGGCUAACUACGUG